GGACUCACCUCUCGGACAGGGCUGAUUCCGAUCGGACACUUCCGGUGGAAGGACUGAGCGGCGCUACACUUCAAGAAUUCCGUCCACAGGGACUUGUGAGUCUGCGCAGAAGGCGGGAUGCCUUUGGACUACAAUUCCAAGAAUCCUUCCUGGGUCUCUUCGGGCGCAGACUUUUCGCCAAAGUCCUGAAGAUCUCAGGGCUUGAAGGAGGGGGCAUCUUUUUUCUCCAUUGUAGUAGUGUGUCUUGCUAAAUAACAGAAGGGACUCCUGAAAAGAAAAUGACGUUGGCCGGGCGCGGUGGCUCACGCCUGCAGUCCCAGCACUUUGGGAGGCCGAGACGGGCGGAUCACGAGAAGGGUGCGUCUCACGGAUGGAGCAAUGGCGAGAGCACACCUGAACAAGGGAGGGGAAGGGGUUCUUAUCCCUGACGCAGGUGGUGAAAUUGAAGCCCACGCAGCAGGGUUGCAACUGAAACUUCAUCUCCUCUGCAAAACCUUCCUGCAUUCCCAGACAACUUUUCUUCUGAGGCCUUGUUUGAUUCAUCCCCUUACCCCAGUGGAACUCAGAUAUUCAAAAUGGUAUUAAUUAAAACCACUGGCUGUCAUUGGUCCAUGCAUGGCCUUAAAGUGUGAACAUUUUUUAAUCCAUUACCUAGUCUAUAAGAACUGUAGAUUGACAACAACUUAGAUUUAAUACUACUCUUUUUCUAGUCCCUCUCUAUACUACCUCUCAUCCGAGGAAACACUAUCACAAAUUUUGUAUUUGUUGUUCCCUUGCUUUUUAACAAGAUGAUUCUAUUAGAUAUGUACUGUUUUGUCCCCCAAAAGUGGUGGCAGGGGAGUUCACACAAGGGAGUGCCCAAAACCGUCCUAGUUGGGGCUGGUUGGGAUUCCAAAGAAAGGAGCACUAUGUGCCAAGGUGAUCUGUCCAAAGCAUUUAUUAAGGGAACUUACAUAGUGUUGCAGGAAUCCUCCCCAUGGGUGGUGAGAGAAAAGGGACAUUCUACCUAGAUAUGUCUGCAGUGAGGGGGUCAGGGUAUGGAGUUUAUAUAAGGGUUUAAAGAAUUUGGCUCAGGGCCAGAGCUAGUUUCUUUCACUGUUUUCAGUGACAACUUAGAUACCUUUAUCAGUGCCUGGGAAUGUUCAAGACCCAAGUUUGGGUUCAAGCAUGCUGGGAAAAAAUCUGCAGCUGGCUAGGUCACAGAGAGGUCAAGGCACUCUGAUUUUCAGUCACAGAAUAGUCAAGGCUCUGUGAUUUCCAGUCAGAGAUCCUGCAAUCCAUUUUCCUGACUGGCUCUUACAAUCUCACAUGCCCAUCUCUUCCUAUAUGUUCCCUGAGCUGGUCAGAAAGGGUGGGAUCAUCGGCAAUUUCUUUCCCCUGGCUUUAUGAAACACUGCAAACAAAACCUACACUAACAGUAAAUACAAGUGCACCUGACAAAAUCUAAAAUCACAUUUUCCAAAAGGCUUCCUAGCAGAGCUUUCCACCAAGGACCCCAUCCUGGAAAACAUGACUUUGUGUAGACCACCAGGCAUACCCUAUGUGGUCAGUAAGCUGUAAUUGCUUUCGUGAGUGAAGGACGGAUUGAUUAACUUCAGCUUCUUUGUCUAGAAUAUACACACAAUGUUCACUUUUGUAAAGGGCACAGGUUCCCCCUUGCACAGAUGUCAGCAUCUCUAGGGCCAUUUGGUUUUGUAGACCACUUUUUUCACUGCAGCUGUUUCAAUGUUCAAGGCCUCCAUACCAUGUUUGGUGUUGUUCAAAGCUGUGGAGACAAAUCUCUGAAGGGCUUCCAGCUUCUACACAGUAUCAGAAGAACCUCCUGGAGGCACAAAUAUAGUCAAUAAGUAAUCCCACCAAGAAAAAACAGGUCUACUCCACUGACCUCUCCAGAUGGACUCAUUGAGGGAUACAGGAAUGGUGCCAGAGAUUCUGGAGUCAUCCAAGCCACCCCAGGGGAAGCCAGGGCUGGAG
rnacentral:lncRNA from 1 species